rnacentral:lncRNA from 1 species
ACUCUCAGACGUCCUGUCGAUGUCCCCCGUACACGGGUGGACCUGGAGCAAGCCGGAGGAAGGGAAGACCCGACUCCUCUCUGUUUAACCCUCCAAUCCUUGCUUAGGGAGCCAUCUUGAAUCCUUGCAGCUCAGUCUCUGGCAUGGAAAAGGGUAGGGAGUAGAUUUUGAGGCAGUGGUUCUGCAAAACACAAAAACCUGGCCUUGGUGCAGUUUCCCAUUGUUGAGUUGCAUCCCCGCUCCAGCCCUCCUUCAGCGUAGACAGAGGAAAGGAGAGGAAGAGACCAUGUCAGCUUAGUCAAUCACUGGCCCUCCAAGGAGAGAAAUUGGAUCUCAGGCAAUCAGGGCUCUAGACCUGGAGGGAAGACUUUGGUCACCCAGGUGGGAAACACAUUUCCUUACCCUCUUCAAAGGCACCCACGGCACCUCCCUCCUAAGCUCUUCUCACAGUUGCAAUUCUGCCUUGAGACGGGGUGGCUUAAUGUCUGUCUCAUCAGUCUGUCUGAUCCAUUAGGGUAGGACUAUGUUCUCUCAGUCCCCGUGGUAAUGCCCAUUCCCACACCUGUCUGGCACACAGCAAGUUCUCAAUAAAUAUUAACUGGUUGAAUGAAUCCAAAAGAUCUCAUUACAUCUUUUCUCUGCCUCAGACAGUGAUCUUCUGCCGUCAGGCCAAAUGCUCUAGUGGGCUUGGGCCUUGCUGCACCGUGGCCCUCCUGCCUCCCCAUCCCCUACCCGCACCUGGGUGUUCGGUCCUCAUGUCCUUUGAUUCCACAGUGCCCUCCUUCUCAUCAGGCCUUUGCAGAUGCUGUUCCUCUGCUGGGGUGCCCUUCCCAUCCUCUGUGCUUGGUGACC